AGCAAGGGGGAGAGAGAGAGACACGCACACACUGUGAAUAUUAUCGUGGUCAGUCUCUAGAUUGCAUUUUCUAAGCUUGAUCUUCUCCAACACCCUAAGGCCUACACAGAGAAUCUGCACCGAGACUCAGCUCUGGGCCUGGCUACAAGUGGCCGUCUGGUAAGAAGCCACGGGUAGGAAGAUCAGAUACCCCACUCGCCACCGGAUAGAGGCAAGCAGAGGGUUCCGAAACGGCAGCACCAGCCUGUGACCCAGCCACCGCAUCCUCCAGUUAUGGAGGCUCAGAAGUCUAAAACUAAGAGAUUGUAAGAUCCAAUGUCUGCUAAAGAACCACUUCCUGAUGUGGCCAGAAGGACACAGUGGCUCCCUAGGGCCCCAUUUAAGAGAUUCUCCAGAUAAGGUUGCUGUUAAAGAUGCCCUAGUACUCCCAUCAAGAGCACAGAUUCUGAAACGGAAAUGAGGAACUCAAGAGAUGCCUCAGCAGUUAAAAGCACUGGCUGCUCUCCCACAGGAGCUGCAUUUGAUUCCCAGUACCCACAUGGCAGGUAACAGCCAUGUGUAACUCCAGUUCCAGGGUAAUCUGAUGCCCACUUCUGACUUCUGGGGGCAUUGCAUGACAUGGGUGCACUUACAUACAUAUAAGCAAUACACUUGUAUACAUAAAAUAAAAUAAUGAAUAAAAUCCAUAAACAAAAUAAAACUGAAAUGAUACAGAGAGGAUUCACAUGACCUCUGUGCAUGGAUGACACAGAUUUGUAAAGCACUCCAUCCUUUAAAAAAAAAUAAAAGCAAAAAAAGAGGGUCUUGAUAUCUGUAAUCUAUAGCAACAUAUUUAAGUAUCAAAUUUUAAGUGUUUUUCAUGAGUACCUGUAUUAGUUACUUUUCUGUUGCUAUGA